UACGUAGGGGGCGAGCGUUGUCCGGAGUUACUGGGCGUAAAGGGUGCGCAGGCGGUUUUGUAAGCCAGAUGUGAAAUCCCCGGGCUCAACCUGGGAACUGCAUCUGUGACUGCAUAGCUAGAGUACGGUAGAGGGGGAUGGAAUUCCGCGUGUAGCAGUGAAAUGCGUAGAUAUGCGGAGGAACACCGAUGGCGAAGGCAAUCCCCUGGACCUGUACUGACGCUCAUGCACGAAAGCGUGGGGAGCAAACAGG
rnacentral:rRNA from 1 species